ensembl:lncRNA
UCUGAUUUGCCAGACCUGAAUACCUCAGUUUUGAGAACCACGUGUGCAAAUGCCAAGUAAUCUGACUGCUGCUGAAGGUGGACAUGGUGUAAAUCUGAGACCUCUGCAGGCUGCUGAGGGAUGCUCUGCACGUUAUCACAACCUCAGAUGACCCUGGAGAAAAUCUCUGAGUGAGGAAAGAGGAUACAACUGGAGAAAAAGAACGGGCUAUUGCCGUUCAAGCCCAGAAACUCACCUUGCACCUGGCAACAUCUGCCACCUGUAAAUGCUGGAGCUUCACAGGUCCCCUCCAUGCAGCAGUCGGGCCACAGAGCUGUACUGAUCCUCGGUUUGCUGGUAGAUAUGGGGAGAUUCUGCUCCUCACUGCAGAAAGACUCAUUUUUCAGGGCAGAAGGAAAAUGCAUUUGCUAUUCAGCGUCACUGAAGACACAGACUGAAGAUCCACGUAAGCAAUAAGGUCCUCCAUGUCCCAGAGCUAAAGAGUUGGAACAUCCAUGGCCAGGUUUCCUUCUCGUUAUUGCUUUUCUUAUAUGAACCAUGCAGCGUGAAAGACUGAGCAGAUGAAACUUUCCAGCUACUGGCAUGAAGCCUUUCCACAGACGUAAAAGGAGUGGCAGAAGAACAUUUGUAUCUCAGUGAGUAUCCAGAUCAGAAUACAUAGCAUUCAGCAACCAGCCAGUGUCCAC